rnacentral:tRNA from 1 species
GGAGAGGUGGCCGAGUCGGCUGAAGGCGCUCGCCUGCUAAGCGAGUAAGCGGCUUAAAACUGCUUCGAGGGUUCGAAUCCCUCCCUCUCCGCCA